rnacentral:rRNA from 1 species
CCUACGGGAGGCAGCAGUGGGGAAUUUUGGACAAUGGGGGCAACCCUGAUCAAGCCAUGCCGCGUGUGUGAAGAAGGCCUUCGGGUUGUAAAGCACUUUUGUCCGGAACGAAACGGCGAGGGAUAAUACCUUUCGCUAAUGACGGUACCGGAAGAAUAAGCACCGGCUAACUACGUGCCAGCAGCCGCGGUAAUACGUAGGGUGCAAGCGUUAAUCGGAAUUACUGGGCGUAAAGCGUGCGCAGGCGGUUUUGUAAGUCAGAUGUGAAAUCCCCGGGCUCAACCUGGGAACUGCAUUUGAAACUGCAAGGCUAGAGUGUGUCAGAGGGGGGUUAGAAUUCCACGUGUAGCAGUGAAAUGCGUAGAGAUGUGGAGGAAUACCGAUGGCGAAGGCAGCCCCCUGGGAUAACACUGACGCUCAUGCACGAAAGCGUGGGGAGCAAACAGGAUUAGAUACCCUGGUAGUCCACGCCCUAAACGAUGUCAACUAGUUGUCGGGGAUUAACUUCCUUGGUAACGCAGCUACGCGUGAGUAGACCGCCGUGGGAGGUACGGUCGCGAGAUAAACUACAAUAGAGUAGACGCGNGAGACGUGCCGACGGACGACGACGAGGGAGGUAGG